AGGACAUAUACACUCUAAGGAUCAGCAGCCGUUUUCAUAGGAGACCCCCCUGAAGAUCGUCUUCUUCGUCACCCCCAUCAAAUUUUCGUUUUUCUUCUCCUACACGUUCAAAAAACCCUAGAACUUCAUCUUGUUCAUCCUUCAGCUUCAGCAGAAAUACACCAAGGACCCCCCAACCUUUGCUUCUUCUUCCUCGACUAACCUAGAGAACAUAAGGAAAACCCUAGACUCCAUUGAAGCUGCGCUACAACCAUUCCCCAGUCGAAGAACACAAACACUUAGAACUCCCAGCUACACACACCUCUCACACCACCUGGAAUUCGCCGGAGAUAGCAGCAGACAAAGCCAUCUCUUUACUGCCGAAAUCCGGCGAGGAUAAACCCAGUCGCUUCUUCUGCUUCUUCCCAUUCACGACAGUGCACUAGAAACCAACAUGCUACUUUUCUCGAAAAAUCUCGCGAAACAGUUUUAAGACGAGGUUGGUUUGAGGUCGUCGAUGUCCGUUCGAGGCUCAAUCACCGGUUCAAAGUUCAGGUCAUUAGCUCGCUUUUUGGUUCGUAGUAUCGGAGGCUUCUCUCAUUGUAUACGUUAAAGAAAGCGCAGCAAUAAAGGUAUGGACUUACUUACCGGAGUUUGAGCAUGACAGACACCCCAGGACCAUCCAGUCAGGGUCGCUCAUUCAGGAGUUUGCUUAAGGAGAUUUUUUUUAGUUAUUAUGUCUUGAGUCUGUUGUUCUUUUUAUGUCAUCUUUUACCUUCUAGUUUUAUACAGUAAUGUCGAGUCUUUUAGGUGAUGUUAGAAUUUGUCAUAGUCUAGUUAAGUUUGCCGAGUCUUUUGUUAUCGUAUUUCCUAUUUUGUAUUGGAAAAAUGUGUUAUAAGUCAAAAAAAUCCAAAAAAAGAAUUUUUGCAUUUUUAUA